AUUGAACGCUGGCGGCAUGCCUUACACAUGUAAGUCGAACGGUAACAGGUUAAGCUGCCGAGUGGCGAACGGGUGAGUAAUGUAUCGGAACGUGCCCAGUCGUGGGGGAUAACUGCUCGAAAGAGCAGCUAAUACCGCAUACGACCUGAGGGUGAAAGCGGGGGAUCGCAAGACCUCGCGCGAUUGGAGCGGCCGAUAUCAGAUUAGGUAGUUGGUGAGGUAAAGGCUCACCAAGCCGACGAUCUGUAGCUGGUCUGAGAGGACGACCAGCCACACUGGGACUGAGACACGGCCCAGACUCCUACGGGAGGCAGCAGUGGGGAAUUUUGGACAAUGGGCGCAAGCCUGAUCCAGCCAUGCCGCGUGCGGGAAGAAGGCCUUCGGGUUGUAAACCGCUUUUGUCAGGGAAGAAAAGGUUCUGGCUAAUACCUGGGACUCAUGACGGUACCUGAAGAAUAAGCACCGGCUAACUACGUG
rnacentral:rRNA from 1 species